GGUUCGAUGGUGUAGUUGGUUUAUCACUUCUGUCUAACAAUUAAAUUGGAAUUGUAACACAGGCGGUCCUCAGUUCGAACCUGGGUCGAAUCA